CCGUAGUCAAGUGGUUAAGACGCCGGCCUCUCACGCCGGAAACCCGGGUUCGAAUCCCGGCG
rnacentral:tRNA from 1 species